AUUGAACGCUGGCGGCAGGCCUAACACAUGCAAGUCGAACGCGUGGCGCACGGGUGAGUUAUGUCUGGGACACUGCCUGAUGGAGGGGGAUCUCUACUGGAAACUGUAUCUAAUAGCGCAUACCAUCAGAUGUGCCCAGAUGGGCUUAGCUUGUUGGUGGGGUAACGGCUCACCAAGGCGACGACCCCUAGCUGGUCUGAGAGGAUGAACAGCCACACUGGAACUGAGACACGGUCCAGACUCCUACGGGAGGCAGCAGUGGGGAAUAUUGCACAAUGGGCGCAAGCCUGAUGCAGCCAUGCCGCGUGUGUGAAGAAGGCCUUCGGGUUGUAAAGCACUUUCAGCGGGGAGGCGUUACCCGCAGAAGAAGCACCGGCUAACUCCGUGCCAGCAGCCGCGGUAAUAC
rnacentral:rRNA from 1 species